UCCAGUAGAAGAACCAGAAGAAGCUAACAGGAAGUGACAAUAAAGAAAAUAAAAUCAUAUCUGUUUGGUCCUAUAGUUCACUGGAGAAGCCUGUCCUCCCCAAUGAAACGUAUCUUCGGACAGUUGCCCCUUCAAGACUCUUAGCCCUGGAUCACUGACUAUGACAUCCCAGAAUGACUCCAGCACCCAUGAGGAAACAUCUAGCUGCCUUACCAAGAGUGCUUCUGGGCUGAGAGACGUUCUUGAAAGCAGCACAAAACAGUAAAACAUGCAAAAUCCACAUUCAAGAUGCAUUAUGGAAGAUGGAAGUCAUAUGGUGUGUGUCAUUGUGUAUUACCUGUAACAAAGCAUGUGCUAUGAGCCUUUUACAGAGAGAUGGCGACCUCUUCUGCCUACUCACCCUAGGAGAGGCAAGGUGAAACGUGGUAAUAGCUCACCCACCUUUUCUCUCUGAUAUGCUGGGAUCAACAGUGCUACAACUACACUAUUCACCCUUGGAGUCA